AUUGAACGCUGGCGGCAGGCUUAACACAUGCAAGUCGAGCGGGGAAAGGUAGCUUGCUACCUGACCUAGCGGCGGACGGGUGAGUAAUGCUUAGGAAUCUGCCUAUUAGUGGGGGACAACAUCUCGAAAGGGAUGCUAAUACCGCAUACGUCCUACGGGAGAAAGCAGGGGACCUUCGGGCCUUGCGCUAAAAGAUGAGCCUAAGUCGGAUUAGCUAGUUGGUGGGGUAAAGGCCUACCAAGGCGACGAUCUGUAGCGGGUCUGAGAGGAUGAUCCGCCACACUGGGACUGAGACACGGCCCAGACUCCUACGGGAGGCAGCAGUGGGGAAUAUUGGACAAUGGGGGGAACCCUGAUCCAGCCAUGCCGCGUGUGUGAAGAAGGCCUUUUGGUUGUAAAGCACUUUAAGCGAGGAGGAGGCUACCGAGAUUAAUACUCUUGGAUAGUGGACGUUACUCGCAGAAUAAGCACCGGCUAACUCUGUG
rnacentral:rRNA from 1 species